rnacentral:rRNA from 1 species
UACAGAGGUAGCAAGCGUUGUUCGGAAUGACUGGGUGUAAAGCGCAUGUAGGCGGUUUUGUAAGUUGAAUGUGAAAUCCUUUGGCUUAACCAAAGAACUGCAUUCAAAACUGCAUUACUUGAGUAUGGAAGAGGAAAGCGGAAUUUCUGGUGUAGCGGUGAAAUGCGUAGAUAUCAGAAGGAACACCAGUGGCGAAGGCGGCUUUCUGGUCCGUAACUGACGCUGAGAUGCGAAAGCUAGGGGAG